rnacentral:rRNA from 1 species
GAUGAACACUGGCGGCGUGCCUAAUACAUGCAAGUCGAGCGAAUGGAUUAAGAGCUUGCUCUUAUGAAGUUAGCGGCGGACGGGUGAGUAACACGUGGGUAACCUGCCCAUAAGACUGGGAUAACUCCGGGAAACCGGGGCUAAUACCGGAUAACAUUUUGAACCGCAUGGUUCGAAAUUGAAUGACGGCUUCGGCUGUCACUUAUGGAUGGACCCGCGUCGCAUUAGCUAGUUGGUGAGGUAACGGCUCACACAGGCAACGAUGCGUAGCCGACCUGAGAGGGUGAUCGGCCACACUGGGACUGAGACACGGCCCAGACUCCUACGGGAGGCAGCAGUAGGGAAUCUUCCGCAAUGGACGAAAGUCUGACGGAGCAACGCCGCGUGAGUGAUGAAGGCUUUCGGGUCGUAAAACUCUGUUGUUAGGGAAGAACAAGUGCUAGUUGAAUAAGCUGGCACCUUGACGGUACCUAACCAGAAAGCCACGGCUAACUACGUGCCAGCAGCCGCCGCAG